CAGCAGCCACGGUAAUACGAAGGGUGCAAGCGUUACUCGGAAUUACUGGGCGUAAAGCGUGCGUAGGUGGUGGUUUAAGUCCGUUGUGAAAGCCCUGGGCUCAACCUGGGAAUUGCAGUGGAUACUGGGUCGCUAGAGUGUGGUAGAGGAUAGUGGAAUUUCCGGUGUAGCAGUGAAAUGCGUAGAGAUCGGAAGGAACAUCUGUGGCGAAGGCGACUAUCUGGGCCAACACUGACACUGAGGCACGAAAGCGUGGGGAGCAAACAGGAUUAGAUACCCCGGUAGUCCCUGUCUCUUAUAC
rnacentral:rRNA from 1 species